rnacentral:rRNA from 1 species
GGUUAAGCGACUAAGCGUACACGGUGGAUGCCCUGGCAGUCAGAGGCGAUGAAGGACGUGCUAAUCUGCGAAAAGCGUCGGUAAGGUGAUAUGAACCGUUAUAGCCGGCGAUGUCCGAAUGGGGAAACCCAGUGUGAUUCGUCACACUAUCGUUAACUGAAUACAUAGGUUAACGAGGCGAACCGGGGGAACUGAAACAUCUAAGUACCCCGAGGAAAAGAAAUCAACCGAGAUUCCCCCAGUAGCGGCGAGCGAACGGGGAGCAGCCCAGAGUCUGAAUCAGCUUGUGUGUUAGUGGAACGGUCUGGAAAGUCCGACGGUACAGGGUGAUAGUCCCGUACACCAAAAUGCACAGGUUGUGAACUCGAAGAGUAGGGCGGGACACGUGGUAUCCUGUCUGAAUAUGGGGGGACCAUCCUCCAAGGCUAAAUACUCCUGACUGACCGAUAGUGAACCAGUACCGUGAGGGAAAGGCGAAAAGAACCCCGGCGAGGGGAGUGAAAAAGAACCUGAAACCGUGUACGUACAAGCAGUGGGAGCACCUUCGGGUGUGACUGCGUACCUUUUGUAUAAUGGGUCAGCGACUUAUAUUCUGUAGCAAGGUUAACCGUAUAGGGGAGCCGCAGGGAAACCGAGUCUUAACUGGGCGUUAAGUUGCAGGGUAUAGACCCGAAACCCGGUGAUCUAGCCAUGGGCAGGUUGAAGGUUGGGUAACACUAACUGGAGGACCGAACCGACUAAUGUUGAAAAAUUAGCGGAUGACUUGUGGCUGGGGGUGAAAGGCCAAUCAAACCGGGAGAUAGCUGGUUCUCCCCGAAAGCUAUUUAGGUAGCGCCUCGUGAAUUCAUCUUCGGGGGUAGAGCACUGUUUCGGCUAGGGGGUCAUCCCGACUUACCAACCCGAUGCAAACUACGAAUACCGAAGAAUGUUAUCACGGGAGACACACGGCGGGUGCUAACGUCCGUCGUGAAGAGGGAAACAACCCAGACCGCCAGCUAAGGUCCCAAAGUCAUGGUUAAGUGGGAAACGAUGUGGGAAGGCACAGACAGCCAGGAUGUUGGCUUAGAAGCAGCCAUCAUUUAAAGAAAGCGUAAUAGCUCACUGGUCGAGUCGGCCUGCGCGGAAGAUGUAACGGGGCUAAACCAUGCACCGAAGCUGCGGCAGCGACACUAUGUGUUGUUGGGUAGGGGAGCGUUCUGUAAGCCUGCGAAGGUGUGCUGUGAGGCAUGCUGGAGGUAUCAGAAGUGCGAAUGCUGACAUAAGUAACGAUAAAGCGGGUGAAAAGCCCGCUCGCCGGAAGACCAAGGGUUCCUGUCCAACGUUAAUCGGGGCAGGGUGAGUCGACCCCUAAGGCGAGGCCGAAAGGCGUAGUCGAUGGGAAACAGGUUAAUAUUCCUGUACUUGGUGUUACUGCGAAGGGGGGACGGAGAAGGCUAUGUUAGCCGGGCGACGGUUGUCCCGGUUUAAGCAUGUAGGCUGAUUGUCCAGGCAAAUCCGGAUAAUCAAGGCUGAGGUGUGAUGACGAGGCACUACGGUGCUGAAGUAACAAAUGCCCUGCUUCCAGGAAAAGCCUCUAAGCAUCAGGUAACAUUAAAUCGUACCCCAAACCGACACAGGUGGUCAGGUAGAGAAUACCAAGGCGCUUGAGAGAACUCGGGUGAAGGAACUAGGCAAAAUGGUGCCGUAACUUCGGGAGAAGGCACGCUGGUGUGUAGGUGAAGCCCCUGCGGGUGGAGCUGAGACCAGUCGAAGAUACCAGCUGGCUGCAACUGUUUAUUAAAAACACAGCACUGUGCAAACACGAAAGUGGACGUAUACGGUGUGACGCCUGCCCGGUGCCGGAAGGUUAAUUGAUGGGGUUAUCCGUAAGGAGAAGCUCUUGAUCGAAGCCCCGGUAAACGGCGGCCGUAACUAUAACGGUCCUAAGGUAGCGAAAUUCCUUGUCGGGUAAGUUCCGACCUGCACGAAUGGCGUAAUGAUGGCCAGGCUGUCUCCACCCGAGACUCAGUGAAAUUGAACUCGCUGUGAAGAUGCAGUGUACCCGCGGCAAGACGGAAAGACCCCGUGAACCUUUACUAUAGCUUGACACUGAACAUUGAGCCUUGAUGUGUAGGAUAGGUGGGAGGCUUUGAAGCGUGGACGCCAGUCUGCGUGGAGCCAACCUUGAAAUACCACCCUUUAAUGUUUGAUGUUCUAACGUUGGCCCCUUACCGGGGUUGCGGACAGUGUCUGGUGGGUAGUUUGACUGGGGCGGUCUCCUCCCAAAGCGUAACGGAGGAGCACGAAGGUUAGCUAAUCCUGGUCGGACAUCAGGAGGUUAGUGCAAUGGCAUAAGCUAGCUUGACUGCGAGCGUGACGGCGCGAGCAGGUGCGAAAGCAGGUCAUAGUGAUCCGGUGGUUCUGAAUGGAAGGGCCAUCGCUCAACGGAUAAAAGGUACUCCGGGGAUAACAGGCUGAUACCGCCCAAGAGUUCAUAUCGACGGCGGUGUUUGGCACCUCGAUGUCGGCUCAUCACAUCCUGGGGCUGAAGUAGGUCCCAAGGGUAUGGCUGUUCGCCAUUUAAAGUGGUACGCGAGCUGGGUUUAGAACGUCGUGAGACAGUUCGGUCCCUAUCUGCCGUGGGCGCUGGAGAAUUGAGGGGGGCUGCUCCUAGUACGAGAGGACCGGAGUGGACGCAUCACUGGUGUUCGGGUUGUCAUGCCAAUGGCACUGCCCGGUAGCUAAAUGCGGAAGAGAUAAGUGCUGAAAGCAUCUAAGCACGAAACUUGCCCCGAGAUGAGUUCUCCCUGAGACUUUAAGUCUCCUGAAGGAACGUUGAAGACGACGACGUUGAUAGGCCGGGUGUGUAAGCGCAGCGAUGCGUUGAGCUAACCGGUACUAAUGAACCGUGAGGCUUAACCUU